ACACAUGCAGUCGAACGAGCGAGAGAGAGCUUGCUUUCUUGAGCGAGUGGCGAACGGGUGAGUAACGCGUGAGGAACCUGCCUCAAAGAGGGGGACAACAGUUGGAAACGACUGCUAAUACCGCAUAAGCCCACGACCCGGCAUCGGGUAGAGGGAAAAGGAGCAAUCCGCUUUGAGAUGGCCUCGCGUCCGAUUAGCUAGUUGGUGAGGUAACGGCCCACCAAGGCGACGAUCGGUAGCCGGACUGAGAGGUUGAACGGCCACAUCGGGACUGAGACACGGCCCAGACUCCUACGGGAGGCAGCAGUGGGGAAUAUUGCACAAUGGGGGAAACCCUGAUGCAGCGACGCCGCGUGGAGGAAGAAGGUCUUCGGAUUGUAAACUCCUGUUGUUGAGGAAGAUAAUGACGGUACUCAACAAGGAAGUGACGGCUAACUACGUGCCAGCAGCCGCGGUAAAACGUAGGUCACAAGCGUUGUCCGGAAUUACUGGGUGUAAAGGGAGCGCAGGCGGGAAGACAAGUUGGAAGUGAAAUCCAUGGGCUCAACCCAUGAACUGCUUUCAAAACUGUUUUUCUUGAGUAGUGCAGAGGUAGGCGGAAUUCCCGGUGUAGCGGUGGAAUGCGUAGAUAUCGGGAGGAACACCAGUGGCGAAGGCGGCCUACUGGGCACCAACUGACGCUGAGGCUCGAAAGUGUGGGUAGCAAACAGGAUUAGAUACCCUGGUAGUCCACACUGUAAACGAUGAUUACUAGGUGUUGGAGGAUUGACCCCUUCAGUGCCGCAGUUAACACAAUAAGUAAUCCACCUGGGGAGUACGACCGCAAGGUUGAAACUCAAAGGAAUUGACGGGGGCCCGCA
rnacentral:rRNA from 1 species